UACGGAGAGGGCUAGCGUUGUUCGGAAUUACUGGGCGUAAAGCGUGCGCAGGCGGUUCUAUAAGACAGAUGUGAAAUCCCCGGGCUCAACCUGGGAACUGCAUUUGUGACUGUAGAGCUGGAGUGCGGCAGAGGGGGAUGGAAUUCCGCGUGUAGCAGUGAAAUGCGUAGAUAUGCGGAGGAACACCGAUGGCGAAGGCAAUCCCCUGGGCCUGCACUGACGCUCAUGCACGAAAGCGUGGGGAGCAAACAGG
rnacentral:rRNA from 1 species